rnacentral:rRNA from 1 species
UACGAAGGGUGCAAACGUUAUUCGGAAUCACUGGGCGUAAAGGGUGCGCAGACGGCAUGUUAAGUUCGUUGUUAAAGGCUCCGGCCUAACCGGAGUACCGCGAUGAAAACUGGCGUACUAGAGGGUGAGAGAGAGAAGUGGAAUUCCUGGAGUAGCGGUAAAAUGCGUGGAUCUCAGGAGGAACACCAAUGGCGAAGGCAGCUUCUUGGCUCAUUCCUGACGUUGAGGCACGAAAGCGUGGGGAGCAAACAGG